rnacentral:rRNA from 1 species
AAAGACUGACGCUCAUGCACGAAAGCGUGGGUAGCAAACAGGAUUAGAUACCCUGGUAGUCCACGCCCUAAACGAUGUCAACUAGGUGUUGGGUGGGUAAAACCAUUUAGUACCGGAGCUAACGCGUGAAGUUGACCGCCUGGGGAGUACGGCCGCAAGGUUAAAACUCAAAGGAAUUGACGGGGACCCGCACAAGCGGUGGAUGAUGUGGAUUAAUUCGAUGCAACGCGAAAAACCUUACCUACCCUUGACAUGUUCAGAAGCCUGAAGAGAUUUGGGUGUGCCCGAAAGGGAACUGGAACACAGGUGCUGCAUGGCUGUCGUCAGCUCGUGUCGUGAGAUGUUGGGUUAAGUCCCGCAACGAGCGCAACCCUUGUCGUUAAUUGCCAUCAUUUAGUUGGGCACUUUAACGAGACUGCCGGUGACAAACCGGAGGAAGGUGGGGAUGACGUCAAGUCCUCAUGGCCCUUAUGGGUAGGGCUUCACACGUCAUACAAUGGUCGGUACAGAGGGUUGCAAA